rnacentral:lncRNA from 10 species
UGUUCUGAGAAGAAAAUGCAGGGCUCUUGUUUACUGAUGAGAAUAGAAAAAAAAGAAAGAAAGAAAGAAAGAAAUACAUGAGCUAAGCGGUAAAAUUGGCAUAUUUCUCAACCGAAAAGCUUAUUUAAUUAACCAGGGAUAGGGUAUGUGUAUUUAAGGGAAAUAUAUUAAAUAGGUCUGUGCAUUUUUCUUUCUGGAGAGCCUUCAUACAAAUUUACGCAUCAUGUGAUCCACAAGACAUAAUUUCAUCUUCAUUAACAAAGACCUUCUUGUUACAUAUCUCAGUCAUCUGAGUUCUAUCAUUUGUUUUGACCUAGAAACCCUAAUGGAAUGUGUAAUUAUACUAAGAAGAGAAUAUAAUUCAGUGAUAAAAAUUUAUCUCUAAUAUGAGUGUUUAUUACAGUAAAAUUUCUUUAUACUUUUUUUAAAAUUUUUAUUGCAAGUGAAACCUUGUGAUUAUCCAGACAUUAAACAUGGAGGUCUAUAUCAUGAGAAUAUGCGUAGACCAUACUUUCCAGUAGCUGUAGGAAAAUAUUACUCCUAUUACUGUGAUGAACAUUUUGAGACUCCGUCAGGAAGUUACUGGGAUCACAUUCAUUGCACACAAGAUGGAUGGUCGCCAGCAGUACCAUGCCUCAGAAAAUGUUAUUUUCCUUAUUUGGAAAAUGGAUAUAAUCAAAAUCAUGGAAGAAAGUUUGUACAGGGUAAAUCUAUAGACGUUGCCUGCCAUCCUGGCUACGCUCUUCCAAAAGCGCAGACCACAGUUACAUGUAUGGAGAAUGGCUGGUCUCCUACUCCCAGAUGCAUCCGUGUCAAAACAUGUUCCAAAUCAAGUAUAGAUAUUGAGAAUGGGUUUAUUUCUGAAUCUCAGUAUACAUAUGC